rfam:Triticum aestivum genome assembly, contig: Triticum_aestivum_CS42_TGACv1_scaffold_147127_2BS
AAAAUACUCUCUCCGUCCCAAAAUUUUUGUCUUAGAUUUGUCUUAAUACGAAUGUAUCAAGUCACGUUUUAGUAUUAGAUACAUCCGUAUCUAGACAAAUUUAAGACAAGAAUUUUGGGACGGAGGGAGUAUUAU